AUACUUGGAAGUCUGAGCACGGGAGACAGAGCACCGGGUGCUAACGUCCGGACUCAAAAGGGAAACAACCCAGACCGCCGGCUAAGGUCCCUAAUAUUGACUAAGUGGAAAACGAAGUGGGAAGGCUAAGACAGUCAGGAAGUUGGCUUAGAAGCAGCCAUCCUUCAAAGAAAGCGUAAUAGCUCACUGAUCGAGUCUUCCUGCGCGGAAGAUGUAACGGGGCUAAGUCAAUAACCGAAGCCGCGGAUUCGCAGCAAUGCGAGUGGUAGGGGAGCGUUCUGUAAGCCUGCGAAGGCGGAUCUGCGAGGACCGCUGGAGGUAUCAGAAGUGCGAAUGCUGACAUGAGUAACGUUAAAGCGGGUGAAAAGCCCGCUCGCCGCAAGCCCAAGGUUUCCUGCUCUACGUUCAUCGGAGCAGGGUGAGUCGGCCCCUAAGGUCAGGCUGAGAAGCGUAGCUGAUGGGAAGCUGGUUAAUAUUCCAGCACCGAUUUCAAGUGCGAAGGGGGGACGGAGUCCUGAAGGUCAUCCGGGUGUUGGACAUCCCGGUUUACGAGCGUAGGAGGUUGACAGGCAAAUCCGUCAACGAAUCUCCAAGGCGAAGGAUCGAGGUUGAGAGAUCAACUGAAGUGACUGAAUGGGCUUCCAGGAAAAGCCUCUAAGCAUCAGCUUGGAAUUGACCGUACCGCAAACCGACACUGGUGGGCGAGCUGAAUAUGCUCAGGCGCUUGAGAGAACUCAGGAGAAGGAACUCGGCAAAUUGACACCGUAACUUCGGGAUAAGGUGUGCCUUUGUAGUGUGAAGGGAGAAACACCCCGAGCAUGAAGAGGCCUCAGAGAAUCGGUGGCUGCAACUGUUUACUAAAAACACAGCACUCUGCAAAGAUGAAAGUCGACGUAUAGGGUGUGAUGCCUGCCCGGUGCUGGAAGAUUAAUUGAUGGGGUGCAAGCUCCUGAUCGAAGUCCCAGUAAACGGCGGCCGUAACUAUAACGGUCCUAAGGUAGCGAAAUUCCUUGUCGGGCAAGUUCCGACCUGCACGAAUGGCAUAAUGAUGGCCACACUGUCUCCUCCUGAGACUCAGUGAAGUUGAAAUGUUUGUGAUGAUGCAAUCUCCCCGCGGCUAGACGGAAAGACCCCAUGAACCUUUACUGCAGCUUUGCAUUGGACUUUGAACCGAUCUGUGUAGGAUAGGUGGGAGGCAGUGAAGCUAGGACGCCAGUCUUAGCGGAGCCAACCUUGAAAUACCACCCUGAUUUGUUUGAGGUUCUAACCUAGGAGCGUGAUCCGCUUCGGGGACCGUGCAUGGUAGGCAGUUUGACUGGGGCGGUCUCCUCCUAAAGGGUAACGGAGGAGUGCGAAGGUACGCUAGGUACGGUCGGAAAUCGUGCUGAUAGUGCAAUGGCAAAAGCGUGCUUGACUGCGAGACCGACAAGUCGAGCAGAUACGAAAGUAGGUCAUAGUGAUCCGGUGGCUCUGCAUGGAAGGGCCAUCGCUCAACGGAUAAAAGGUACUCUGGGGAUAACAGGCUGAUACCGCCCAAGAGUUCAUAUCGACGGCGGUGUUUGGCACCUCGAUGUCGGCUCAUCUCAUCCUGGGGCUGUAGCCGGUCCCAAGGGUA
rnacentral:rRNA from 1 species